AAAGAUAUGCCUUUUAUUUAUUAAUAAUAGAUUGAAACAAGCAUCAAAAGUAUUGGCCUCUAGGGCUUACACCAACAAUAUGCCUAUAUGAUUGCAAAUUAAUAAUAAUUAAAAUCACGUACAUUCUCAACACUCAUCACAAAAUAUCUGCAGUCAAUAACGUUAGUUUAACGGGGACACUGAAAAAAAAUCAUCACAAUAACAUCUCUAUUAUUAUAACCGUUAUACUCACUUGUUAUUUUUGCUUGGCAGCUUCAUAGUUAGAGGCUAUGGUAUCCUUAAUUGCAUUUGCUAUGUUACUUGCUUUCUCUACAACAUUGUUCUUCAUUUCUUUCGCCUUCU
rnacentral:lncRNA from 1 species